ensembl:misc_RNA Metazoa_SRP Metazoan signal recognition particle RNA
GCCAGGCAUGGUGGUGUGUGCCUGUAAUCCCAGCUACUCAGAAGGCUGAGGCUGGAGGAUCACUUGAGCCCAGGAGUUCAAGGCUGCAGUGAGCUAUGAUCAUGCCACUGCACUCCAGCCUGGGUGACAGAAUGAGACCCUGUCUCAA